rnacentral:misc_RNA from 1 species
AAGAUCUUGGAUAGAACAGCAGACAUAUAAAUAAGCUCUAUAGUUCCAAAUAUAAGUGGAAACAAGAGAGCCAGAAACAAAUUUGUUUGCCAUAUCAGUAGCAUUACGACUGUAACCAAAGUCGUGCUAACCAUCAUGACACCAACUUCAGCUAUGCCAUAGGCAUUAGAUAUGUCUGUCGUGCUCUGGAAGACAGCAACCACAAGCAUGCACAUUA